rnacentral:lncRNA from 1 species
GUUGUGUUAGGGAAAGCCUUAGUAUUAAUAGUAUAAAAUACAACUGAGGUUACAUAUAUAUGAAGAUUUGAGCUAAACUUCUUGAUGUCCAAGCAUUAGUUUGGUGCAAACUAUGUCACUCACCGAAUCCAUAGUAAGUUAAAUCCCUUAGAUACUAGCCAAUGUGUAAAAUAUGUAUCAUACAAGUUGAAUCAUCCAGUUGUUGAAAACACUGAAAUUAUUUGCAUCUCAGGCAUCUUAGGAAAAGUAUAUUACUUGAGGAUAUGCUUCUUCCAAACUAAUAGGAACACUGUUUGCUUUGACAACAUUUCCUGUAGAAAAAGAUUCAUUCAUUCAAUAAACAUUUUUAUCAUGCUGUUAGUAACACCAGGUCUGUGCUUCUAGCAAGCACGUGUGUGUAAGUGAAUGGCUGUGUUGAGGAGCUGAGACUGGAGGUAGCUAAAACCAUUGGCCUCAGAGUUCCGGCUUUCCAGUUCUCUCGAGAUCACAGGAGUCUUGGGGCAUCAAAAGUACACCAUCAAUAUACCAGUAGUCCACCAGAGCACAGCAGGAUCCCAGGAUGCGGUAGGGGAGAAGUUCUCUAAAAAACAGAGACGUGGACUUAUAAGCUAGUACUGAUUCCUUGGACACAACUUAUUGGCUUGUGCUGAGGAGGUGAUGGUCAGUGAACUA